rnacentral:rRNA from 1 species
AACGAAACGCUGGCGGCAUGCCUAACACAUGCAAGUCGAACGAAGUCUUCGGACUUAGUGGCGCACGGGUGCGUAACGCGUGGGAAUCUGCCCUUGGGUUCGGAAUAACAGUGAGAAAUUACUGCUAAUACCGGAUGAUGACUUCGGUCCAAAGAUUUUAUCGCCCAAGGAUGAGCCCGCGUAAGAUUAGCUAGUUGGUGAGGUAAAGGCUCACCAAGGCGACGAUCUUUAGCUGGUCUGAGAGGAUGAUCAGCCACACGUGGACUGAGACACGG